rnacentral:tRNA from 1 species
AGGGGCGUAGUUCAAUGGUAGAACGGCGGUCUCCAAAACCGCUAGUGUGGGUUCGAUUCCUACCGCCCCUGCCA